rnacentral:rRNA from 1 species
UACGGAGGGGGCUAGCGUUAUUCGGAAUUAUUGGGCGUAAAGGGCGCGUAGGCGGCCCGGUAAGUCAAAGGUGAAAUCCCUCGGCUCAACUGAGGAACUGCCUUUGAAACUGUCGGGCUUGAGGCCGGGAGGGGGUAGCGGAAUUCCCAGUGUAGCGGUGAAAUGCGUAGAUAUUGGGAGGAACACCGGUGGCGAAGGCGGCUACCUGGACCGGUUCUGACGCU